rnacentral:rRNA from 1 species
UGGCUCAGAACGAACGCUGGCGGCGUGGAUUAGGCAUGCAAGUCGAACGCGAAAGAGGGGGCAACUCCUCGAGUAGAGUGGCGAACGGGUGAGUAACGCGUGAGAAACCUGCCUUCAUCAGGGGGAUAACACUCCCAACGGGGUGCUAAUACCGCAUGAGACCACGGGAUCGCAUGGUCCUGAGGUCAAAGGUGGCCUCUAUUUAUAAGCUACCGGAUGGAGAUGGUCUCGCGUCCCAUUAGCUAGUUGGCGGGGUAACGGCCCACCAAGGCGACGAUGGGUAGCUGGUCUGAGAGGAUGGUCAGCCACACUGGGACUGAGAUACGGCCCAGACUCCUACGGGAGGCAGCAGUCGAGAGGCUUCGGCAAUGGGGGAAACCCUGACCGAGCGACGCCGCGUGGGGGAUGAAGGCCCUUGGGUUGUAAACCCCUUUUGUUCGGGAAGAAGUGCGAUCAGGUGAACAAUCUGGUCGUUUGACGGUACCGGACGAAUAAGCUCCGGCUAACUCCGUGCCAGCAGCCGCGGUAACACGGGGGGAGCAAGCGUUGUUCGGAAUCACUGGGCGUAAAGGGCGUGUAGGCGGUCAGGUAAGUGAGAUGUGAAAUGCCCCGGCUCACCCGGGGACCGGCAUCUCAUACUGCUUGGCUUGAGUACGGGAGAGGAUGUGGGAAUUCCUGGUGUAGCGGUGAAAUGCGUAGAUAUCAGGAGGAACACCGGUGGCGAAGGCGCACAUCUGGCCCGAUACUGACGCUGAGGCGCGAAAGCUAGGGGAGCAAACGGGAUUAGAUACCCCGGUAGUCCUAGCCGUAAACGGUGAUCACUAGGUGUUGGAGGCAUUGACCCCUCCAGUGCCGCAGCUAACGCAUUAAGUGAUCCGCCUGGGG